AAGAAAGUCAUGCCACCGCCACCUGCGGCAACAUGUCUUACUUUUCACCCCUGAGAUGACAGUAUAGUUGCUAUUGGCAUGAACAAUUCCACCAUUGUAAUAUACAAUCUCCACUCAGACGAGAUUACAAGGAAGCUUGAGGGUCACACCAAAAGAGUCACUAGCCUUGCCUUCUCAAACACUCUGAAUAUUUUUGUGGGGGGUGCUGCUGGGUGGGAAAAACAGAGAAGCAAAUUGUUGCAGAUUCCAGAUGGGAAGGAGUUGAGAUCA